UACGUAGGGGGCUAGCGUUGUCCGGAAUCAUUGGGCGUAAAGCGCGUGUAGGCGGCCCGGUAAGUCCGCUGUGAAAGUCGGGGGCUCAACCCUCGAAAGCCGGUGGAUACUGUCGGGCUCGAGUGCGGAAGAGGCGAGUGGAAUUCCUGGUGUAGCGGUGAAAUGCGCAGAUAUCAGGAGGAACACCGAUGGCGAAGGCAGGUCUCUGGGCCACUACUGACGCUGAGACGCGAAAGCGUGGGGAGCGAACAGG
rnacentral:rRNA from 1 species